rnacentral:rRNA from 1 species
AGAUUGAACGCUGGCGGCGUGCCUAACACAUGCAAGUCGAGCGGUAACAGGUGUAGCAAUACAUGCUGACGAGCGGCGGACGGAUGAGUAACGCUUGGGAAUCUGCCUGUUAGUGGGGGACAACCCGGGGAAACUCGGGCUAAUACCGCAUACGCACUACGGUGGAAAGCCGGGGACCGCAAGGCCUGGCGCUAACAGAUGAGCCCAAGUCGGAUUAGCUAGUUGGUAGGGUAAUGGCCUACCAAGGCGACGAUCCGUAACUGGUCUGAGAGGACGACCAGUCACACCGGAACUGAGACACGGUCCGGACUCCUACGGGAGGCAGCAGUGGGGAAUAUUGGACAAUGGGCGAAAGCCUGAUCCAGCGACGCCGCGUGGGUGAAGAAGGCCUGCGGGUUGUAAAGCCCUUUCAGUGGGGAAGAAAAGCCUCGAGUUAACACCUCGGGGUCUUGACGUAACCCAUAGAAGAAGCACCGGCUAACUCUGUGCCAGCAGCCGC